rnacentral:rRNA from 1 species
GAGUUUGAUCAUGGCUCAGAUUGAACGCUGGCGGCAGGCCUAACACAUGCAAGUCGAGCGGUAGAGAGAAGCUUGCUUCUCUUGAGAGCGGCGGACGGGUGAGUAAUGCCUAGGAAUCUGCCUGGUAGUGGGGGAUAACGCUCGGAAACGGACGCUAAUACCGCAUACGUCCUACGGGAGAAAGCAGGGGACCUUCGGGCCUUGCGCUAUCAGAUGAGCCUAGGUCGGAUUAGCUAGUUGGUGAGGUAAUGGCUCACCAAGGCGACGAUCCGUAACUGGUCUGAGAGGAUGAUCAGUCACACUGGAACUGAGACACGGUCCAGACUCCUACGGGAGGCAGCAGUGGGGAAUAUUGGACAAUGGGCGAAAGCCUGAUCCAGCCAUGCCGCGUGUGUGAAGAAGGUCUUCGGA